rnacentral:rRNA from 1 species
GACGAACGCUGGCGGCGUGCUUAACACAUGCAAGUGGAGCGACGAACCAGGGCUUGCCCUGGGGCAGAGCCGCGAACGGGUGAGUAACACGUGGGUUACCUGCCUCGAUGACCGGGACAACCCGAGGAAACUCGGGCUAAUACCGAAUGUGCCCUCCGGCCACAAGGCCGCUGGGGAAAGGAAGCUUCGGCCUCCGCAUCAGGAUGGGCCCGCGGCCCAUUAGCUUGUUGGUGAGGUAACGGCUUACCAAGGCUACGAUGGGUAGCUGGUCUGAGAG